GUCCACGCCGUAAACGAUGGGUACUAGGUGUGGCGGGUGUCGACUCCCGCUGUGCCGAAGCUAACGCAUUAAGUACCCCGCCUGGGGAGUACGGCCGCAAGGCUAAAACUCAAAGGAAUUGACGGGGACCCGCACAAGCAGCUGAGCAUGUGGUUUAAUUCGACGCAACGCGAAGAACCUUACCAAGGCUUGACAUGCACUUGAAAACCGUGGAAACACGGUCCCCCUUCGGUGCAAGUGCACAGGUGGUGCAUGGCUGUCGU
rnacentral:rRNA from 1 species